rnacentral:rRNA from 1 species
CACGUAGGGGGCAAGCGUUGUCCGGAUUUAUUGGGCGUAAAGAGCUCGUAGGUGGUUCGGUAAGUCGGGUGUUAAACCCCCAGGCUCAACCUGGGGACGCCACUCGAUACUGCUGUGACUAGAGUCCGGUAGGGGAGCGUGGAAUUCCUGGUGUAGCGGUGAAAUGCGCAGAUAUCAGGAGGAACACCGGUGGCGAAGGCGGUGGUCUGGGCCGGCACUGACGCUGAGGAGCGAAAGCGUGGGUAGCAAACAGG